ensembl:lncRNA
UUUUUUUUUUUUUUUUCUGAGAUGGAGUUUCACUCUUGUUGCCCAGGCUAGAGUGCAAUGGUGUGUUCUCAGCUCACCGCAACCUCUGCCUCCCAGGUUCAAGCGAUUCUCCAGCCUCAGCCUCCUGAGUAGCUGGGAUUACAGGCAUGCACCAUCAUGCCCAGCUAAUUUUGUAUUUUUAGCAGAAAUGGGGUUUCUCCAUAUUGGUCAGGCUGGUCUCGAACUCCUAACCUCAGGUGAUCCGCCCACCUCAGCCUCCCAAAGUGCUGGGAUUACAGGCGUGAGCCACCACGCCUGGCCCGGAGGGUAAUUCUUAAACAACAGCAUGAAAGUCCUUAGUCUAGGGUUGCAGAUGCUUGGUGAAAUGGGGCAUUCUUCUCCUCUUCUGAUAUUGGCAACACUGAGAAAAACUUCUGAGCCCUCUUUGAGUCAUAGAGUUCUCUCUCUCCUGGUGGACUUCAGCUUCUCUUAUCCUUGGAAUCCAUACCCAUAUUUAUGAUAGCCACAGAUUUAAACAGUUCUGAGGAGCGUUGGUUGAAAAUCACACUUCUUAUCUUGGCAGUGGCAAAGAAGUGAUUUUUGCUUCCCAAUUCACUUUAAUUGGUCUCUUAACUAAUGUAUUCAACCCAAGACUUGAGAAGGUAGCAAAGAAUGACUGACACUCCUUCACACGCGUGCUCAUUCACUCCACAAACACACACCGAACCUUCUGUGUCCCAGGUUCUGUAUUGGGUGUUAGGGACACAAAGUUGCCGGCAUAAAGAACUCUCCACCUAUCAGGGGGUGCAGACAAAUAUAUAAAAGGUGGCAGUUGCCACUUUAAUGGAGGCAGCCACAGGUCCCUGAGCUCACAGGUGUCUGAUCUUCCCUAGAGGAAUAGUGAGAGGGACCUGGGAGGAGAUGGUGUCUUACAAGACCACCAAGGUUUCCUGAGCAGAGAAGAAAAGGAGGAACUGCAUCCUCAAUAGAGGAAACAGCAUGGGGAAGGGCCUGAUGGCACGAGGAUGCAGCAGUCAGAUGAAGAAGGACCUCGAAAAUGCCUGCUCAGAAGCUGGGAUUUUAUCCUUGGAGCUAUUGACGAACCUGAAGCAGGGGAAUGGCAUGAUCAUAUUCUGCAAGUUUCACUUGUGUCAUUUCCUGGUUUGACCCCUUGACCUGUUUUAUCAGUAAUAUUCAUGAAGGUAUCUGCCAUCCAAGAGCUUUCAUCUAUACCAAGAAAUUAGAUGACAAUAAUUAUUAAAAUAAUAAAAAUCUCAUAUUAGAGUUAUAUUGAAAUUUCUUUCUUGCUUAACAAUGAAGUUCUAGAAGACAGACAAGAUUUUGUUUACUAAUGUUUUCCCAGCGUCAACCACACACAAUGCCAACAUACAGCAGCUUUUCCUCAAUAAACAUGUAGUGAGUGAAUGAAUGAAUGAACAAAUGAAAGUUUGUUUCCACUGCUCAGUUUGCCAAGCACUUUCAUACUCAUUUAAAUCUCUCAAAACUUCUGUGAGGUAGAUAAUUCCCCUCCUUGCCCUGCCCCAUUUUGCACAUAGAAAAACUUGGGUCAGAGAAGAAAGACAUCUUAUAGUGAUGCAGGGACAAUAUAAGACAACAUGUAUGGCAGGCGCCAUGAGAAAACACUCACUGCUAACUGGAGUGGCCAGGGAAGGCAGCCUUGAACCUAGCCUUGAAGACCUAGUGUGUGCUCUUGGCCCCCAUUCCCCACUCAACAUCCCUCAAUGCUGGAAUUUUACCUUAUUAAUAGUCAGACCUCCAUAUCUAUGGGUUCCACAUCCUCAGAUUUCACCAGUCACAGAUCAAAAAUAUUUAAAACAAUAAUAUAAAUACAUAACAAACAACAAUAAAAAUACUUCUUUUUAAAAUGCAGUAUAACAACUAUUUACAUAACAUUUACAUUGUAUUAGGUAUUAUAGGUAGUCUAGAGAUGCUUUAAAGUAUACGGGAAGCAUAUGUGUGUAGGUUAUAUGCAAAUACUACACCAUUUUAUAUUAGAUUAAUAUCAGGGGCUUGACCAUCCUCAGAUUUUGGUAUCUGCGGGGAUCUUGGAACCAAUCCCCCACGGAUACCGACAGACAAUUGUAAUUGGUAUUGUUUAUCAAGUAUUUACUAUGUCAGGCAUUGGACAGGUUCACAUGCAUUACCUCAUAGUUUCACAUGAAAAUUAGAGUAGUAAAUACAGUCACCAGGUCUAUUUAAUGAAUAAGGAAACUAAGAUUUGAGAUAUUACAUAAUUUAACCAUUCUUCCGCAAUAAGCAAGCAAGGAGCUGGAUUGAAACUCAGGUCUGUUUGACUCAAAAAUAUUUUUUCUCACAAAUGCAGGGCCAAGAGUGAUAACCUGCGUUUCAAAGUAUCAUCUAUGGGCACAGAAAUAUGGAAAAAUGAGUAUAAACACCUUUUCUGCCACCAUUCCAUUCCCACUCCACAGGGUUAGCAUAAAAUACACCAGGAGCCGGGAGAAGGAAGGACAGUCUGCAUUCACCACACAAGCUUUAAAUAAUGAAUAGGGCAAUGGAUUAGAAGUCGAGGUAUCUCUGAAAUAAUGUCAAUAGAUUACUUUUAAGGUGUAGACCUUGGUAAGCCAAUUAACUCCUCUGCUAUAUAAGAAAGGGACCAGAAUUGACACAUUCUAAAAUCAUUUUAAACCUGAGUCUCCACGACUCAUCUAGACCUUUUUUUUUAGUUUAGUUGAAGCAUUUCUAGAAUAUCUUGCUUAUAUAUUAUGUCACAAGACUUGCCUAGCUCACAUCUUAGCAGUCUCAUAUUCCCUUCCCAGGAAAUCUUAAGAGGUUUCUAAUUGAUGACCAAUGCUAUAUUAAAAAUCAAAGAGAAGAAUAAUUGUUUUUCCACCUGACCAUAAGAAAAAAAUGAUAAUAAUAAUCAAAAUACUGCUCUUUUGUUAAAAAGGGUUAAAAAUCUGACUUAAGGCCGGGCGCAAUGGCUCAUGCCUGUAAUCUCAGCACUUUGGGAGGCUGAGGCGGGGGGAUCACCUGAGGUCAGGAGUUUGAGACCAGUCUGGCCAACAUGGUGAAACAAAACAAAACAAAACAAAACAAAACGUAAAACAAACAAUCAAAAAUCUAAAAAAACAAAAAAAUACAACAUGGUGAAACUAAAAAUAUUUUACAAAAAUUAGCCAGGCAUGGUGGUGUGCACCUGUAAUCCCAGCUACUCUGG